rnacentral:rRNA from 1 species
GACGAACGCUGGCGGCGUGCCUAAUACAUGCAAGUCGAACGAGAGCGACCGGUGCUUGCACUGGUCAAUCUAGUGGCGAACGGGUGAGUAACACGUGGGUAACCUGCCCAUCAGAGGGGGAUAACAUCCGGAAACGGAUGCUAAAACCGCAUAGGUCUUCGAGCCGCAUGGCUUGAAGAGGAAAAGAGGCGCAAGCUUCUGCUGAUGGAUGGACCCGCGGUGCAUUAGCUAGUUGGUGAGGUAACGGCUCACCAAGGCCGUGAUGCAUAGCCGACCUGAGAGGGUGAUAGGCCACAUUGGGACUGAGACACGGCCCAAACUCCUACGGGAGGCAGCAGUAGGGAAUCUUCCGCAAUGGACGCAAGUCUGACGGAGCAACGCCGCGUGAGUGAAGAAGGUUUUCGGAUCGUAAAACUCUGUUGUUAGAGAAGAACAAGUGCUAGAGUAACUGUUAGCGCCUUGACGGUAUCUAACCAGAAAGCCACGGCUAACUACGUG